GGUCAGUUUCAGUACCAUAUUAACAAUGUACAGGGAUACUGGAGUGAUGGAGGUAGAUAUGUAUAGGGGGAAGGGGACAGGGAUACUGGAGUGAUGGAGGUAGAUAUGUAUAGGGGGAAGGGGACAGGGAUACUGGAGUGAUGGAGGUAGAUAUGUAUAGGGGGAAGGGGACAGGGAUACUGGAGUGAUGGAGGUAGAUAUGUAUAGGGGGAAGGAGACAGGGAUACUGGAGUGAUGAGGUAGAUAAGUAUAGGGGAAGGAGACAGGGAUACUGGAGUGAUGGAGGUAGAUAUGUAUAGGGG
ensembl:lncRNA